rnacentral:rRNA from 1 species
CCUACGGGAGGCAGCAGUAGGGAAUCUUCCACAAUGGACGAAAGUCUGAUGGAGCAACGCCGCGUGAGUGAUGAAGGUUUUCGGAUCGUAAAACUCUGUUGUAAGGGAAGAACAAGUACGAGAGGGAAUGCUCGUACCUUGACGGUACCUUGCGAGAAAGCCACGGCUAACUACGUGCCAGCAGCCGCGGUAAUACGUAGGUGGCAAGCGUUGUCCGGAAUUAUUGGGCGUAAAGCGCGCGCAGGCGGCCUUUUAAGUCUGAUGUGAAAGCCCCCGGCUCAACCGGGGAGGGUCAUUGGAAACUGGAAGGCUUGAGUACAGAAGAGAAGAGUGGAAUUCCAUGUGUAGCGGUGAAAUGCGUAGAGAUGUGGAGGAACACCAGUGGCGAAGGCGACUCUUUGGUCUGUAACUGACGCUGAGGCGCGAAAGCGUGGGGAGCAAACAGGAUUAGAUACCCUGGUAGUCCACGCCGUAAACGAUGAGUGCUAGGUGUUGGGGGGUUUCCGCCCCUCAGUGCUGAAGCUAACGCAUUAAGCACUCCGCCUGGGGAGUACGGCCGCAAGGCUGAACUUAAAGGAAUUGACGG